GAUUUAUCUCCUCGUGAGGCUGGAGGAUCUCCCCAGCACAGAGACUGGAGCGGCCGGGGAUGGAUGGACGGAUGGAUGGAUGGAUGGAUGGAGCUGCAGGGAGGCAGAGCCGCCGGGAGGGAGCGGCUGAGAGGGGGAGAGAAAGAAGAGCAAACACAGUGAUCCCAUCAGGGAAGAGUUUAUUUGGAGGAAUCACCCUUCAGGAAAUCAACAUUCCUUCCAGCUCUCCUUGUCCUUGGUGUGUGGGACCAGCAGUCCCAGCAGGACGAGUGACAAACCCCAGCCCUGGAGAAUUGCUUUCCUGGAGGCUUUGCCACCAGGAUUUAGCAGGUGGCUGUUUUGGAUGCAGGCAGAGGUGUGGGAAGAUUCAGAGAGCUUGGUGGCACUGGGACAGUGCCUCCUGUCAGCACAGCAGAGCUCACACUCACCUGAGCACUCCUUCACCUCCAUUCAACUGGGAGUUGUGUUCUGCAGUUCCCCCUCUGUUGCAGACAUCUUUUAUGGAAAAUCCUUUCCUUAGGAUUUUUCCUCCUGAGAAGCUGAGAGGCCUCAGGAAACAAAAUGUAAACAAUGAUUAUCUGCUGCUGUGGAAUGCAACAGGUGCAUCUGUAAUUGGCCCAUGUUGGAUGUUUGUAAUUAAUGGCCAAUCACAGUGAGCUGGCUUGGACAGAGAGUCUGAGCCACAAACCUUUGUAAUCAUUCCUUCCUAUUCUAUUCUUAGCCAGCCUUCUGAUGAAAUCCUUUCUUUUAUUCUUUUAGUAUAGUUUUAAUGUAAUAUAUAUAAUAAAAUAAUAAAUCAGCCUUCUGAAACA
rnacentral:lncRNA from 1 species